rnacentral:rRNA from 1 species
CCUACGGGGGGCUGCAGUGGGGAAUAUUGCACAAUGGGGGAAACCCUGAUGCAGCGACGCCGCGUGAGUGAGGAAGUAUUUCGGUAUGUAAAGCUCUAUCAGCAGGGAAGAAAAUGACGGUACCUGACUAAGAAGCCCCGGCUAACUACGUGCCAGCAGCCGCGGUAAUACGUAGGGGGCAAGCGUUAUCCGGAUUUACUGGGUGGAAAGGGAGCGUAGACGGUUAAUCAAGUCAGAAGUGAAAACCCAGGGAGCAACCUUGGGACUGCUUUUGAAACUGAGUAGCGAGAGUGCAGGAGAGGUAAGCGGAAUUCCUAGGGUAGCGGUGAAAUGCGUAGAUAUUAGGAGGAACACCAGGGGCGAAGGCGGCUGACUGGACUGUAACUGACGUUGAGGCUCGAAAGCGUGGGGAGCAAACAGGAUUAGAUACCCCUGUAGUC